rnacentral:rRNA from 1 species
AAUACGGGGGGAGCAAGCGUUGUUCGGAUUUACUGGGCGUAAAGGGCGCGUAGGCGGCGCAACAAGUCACUUGUGAAAUCUCCUGGCUCAACUAGGAGCGGCCAAGUGAUACUGUCGUGCUAGAGUGCGGAAGGGGCUACUGGAAUUCUCGGUGUAGCGGUGAAAUGCGUAGAUAUCGAGAGGAACACCUGCGGCGAAGGCGGGUUGCUGGGCUGACACUGACGCUGAGGCGCGAAAGCUAGGGGAGCGAACGGGA